AUGUUUUUAGAAUCCCCCUCUUUGGGGUUGCUUUGUGCUGGUGACAGUCUCAUCGUCCAUUCUAUGAUAUCUAGUUCUGGAGCUUUUUUCAUCUUUCUCUCUGGUGUGGGACGGCCCACAGUCGGUCCUCAUUGGUUUGGGACGGGCUUCAGUCAGUCCCCUCCGGUUUGGGACGGCCCACAGCCGGUUCCUCUCUGGUUUGGGACGGCCCACAGCCGGUUCCUCUCCGGGACGGUCCACAGCUGGUUCCCCUCCGGUCCGGGACGGCCCACAGCCGGUUCCCCUCCGGUCCGGGACGGCCCACAGCCGGUUCCCCUCCGGUCCGGGACGGCCCACAGCCGGUUCCUCUCCGGUCCGGGACGGCCCACAGCCGGUUCCCCUCACCAGAAACGGCGUUCCUUCUCCGUUCUUGUGGCUGUGUCUGCAGAUGCAAUGAAGGACGGCCAUUUUAAUGCUGCAGUUUUCAUGAAGAUAGAGAAUAUAUUUAUAAACAGCUCUGAUGGAAACACGCCCGGGUCCGGUUCCGGUCAUCAGAGGACCGGCCCGCUCAGAUCCAUGUAGCAUACGAAAUACUAAAGAUGAAAUUUAUAGCUAAUAUAUUGUGUUGAGCUGGUCUGCUUUGGGUUUAUUGUAAAGAUUUUCUUUUGAUCUACAGUUUGUGUAUAUUUUCAUAUUAUGCACUGAUAUGUUAUGGAAUUCUAUACGGCUUUUACAGAAAAGUGUUUGUUGUACCAAAGUAUCCAAACCCUGGAACCUUCUCCUUUUGCGUAUGUUUUACCGUAUUUUAUAUAUUAAAUAGACAAAUGGAGUGAAAAGGAACCAGAAUCUGUCUUUGACUGGAUCUCACGGAACCGACCCGGUUCUGAUGCUGGUGGUUGAUCUCUUUUGGCUUCACGUGGUUCUUAUCAAAAGAUCAAACAACAGCUGAUGAUGAACUCAACUGAUGUCCACAUGAGGGAGAGAUCCUCUCAGGUGAUUCACCAGGAUUACCUGAUCUCUCUACGGAUUAGAAUGGAGACGAGCCAGAGGCGAGGUCCACUGCUUCCCUAGAGGGGAGUGGGACAGAGGAACAACAUCUGAACCCAGAACCACGAGGAGAACUUCAGGAUAGAUGAAGAGCAGAACCACAGAACUCACCUGCUUUAAACUUCAUGAUUGAGUCUUCCUUCAAAGAUGUCAGCAGUUUGACACCUGCAGCUGAUGCUGAUCAUACCAGAGUCUGAACUUCUAGCAUGUCACCAGUAAUCUAACGGGGAAGGGCGCCCGGGUUCAGUUCAUCAAACCGCUGAGAUCCAGAAUUUAUGGAAUCAUGUGAUGGAAACUCUCAUCAGAGAUGUUAAAGUAGAGCAGCAACCUUUAAGAAUCUGAACCUUUGAGAAUCAACGAUGAGAUCAAAUGAGAAAUCUGUGAUUUCCUGAUCAGGUUUACAUUAAAGUGGAUCAUCUGGACCCAAUUAGAGGGAACCAGGUCAAAUGGAGGUCAACGCAUGGUUAAGAUGUUCUGAUGGAUGAAUGAUGGAUGGAUGAUGGAUGGAUGAUUGAUUGAUGGAUGAAUGGAUGAUGGAUGAUGAUGGAUGGAUGGAAAGAUGAAGGAUGGAUGAUGAGUGGAUGAAAGGAUGGAUGCAUGGAUGGAUGAUGGAUGGAUGAUGCAUGGAUGGAUGAUUGAUGAUGGAUGGAUGAAGGAUGGAUGAUGGGUGGAUGAAAGGAUGGAUGGAUGGAGGAUGGAUGAAAGGAUGGAUGGAUGAUGGAUGGAUGGAUGGAUGAAAGGAUGGAUGGAUGGAUGAUGCAUGGAUGGAUGGAUGAUGGACGGAUGGAUGGAUGAAUGGAUGGAAAGAUGAAGGAUGG
ensembl:lncRNA